GGUUUGAUCCUAUUUUUAAGGUUUAAUCCCUCAGGAAAGGGUUUAAUCCCCCCUAAAUAAAUUUAAUCCCAUGGAGAAGGGUUAAAUCCCAUGGAAGUAAGAUGUAAAAC